GCGAUUUUGCUAUUAUGUGUUCUUUUAAUUAAAAUGAUUCUUUUUAAGGACUUUCUUUGCUUCGGCUUGGAAGUGCUUU
rnacentral:rRNA from 1 species